GCGUNGUAAGUCAGAUGUGAAAUCCCGGGCUNACCCNGAACUGCAUCCGAUACUNCAGCUAGAGGAUUGGAGAGGUAGCUGUAUUCUUGGUGUAGCAGAGAAAUGCGUAGAGAUCAAGAGGAACACUCGUGGCGAAAGCGAGCUACUGGACAAUUCCUGACGCUGAGGCUCGAAGGCUAGGGUAGCGAAAAGGAUUAGAUACCCCUGUAGUCCUAGCAGUAAACGGUGCACGCUUGGUGUGAGGGGAAUCGACCCCCCUUGUGCCGGAGCUAACGCGUUAAGCGUGCCGCCUGGGAAGUACGGUCGCAAGACUAAAACUCAAAGAAAUUGACGGGGACCCGCACAAGCGGUGGAGUAUGUGGCUUAAUUCGAUGCAACGCGAAGAACCUUACCAAGGCUUGACAUGCAUCUCUAAACACGUGAAAGCGUGUGACCCUUCGGGGAAUUUGCACAGGUGCUGCAUGGCCGUCGUCAGCUCGUGUCGUGAGAUGUUGGGUUAAGUCCCGCAACGAGCGCAACCCUUGUGAUUAGUUGCCAGCACGUAAUGGUGGGAACUCUAGUCAGACUGCCCAGAUCAACUGGGAGGAAGGUGGGGACGACGUCAGGUCAGUAUGGCCCUUACGCCUUGGGCUGCACACGUACUACAAUGCCCAGCACAAUGAGAACCGAUACCGCGAGGUGGAGGAAAUCUGUAAAACUGGGCUCAGUUCGGAUUGGAGGCUGCAACUCGCCUCCAUGAAGUUGGAAUCGCUAGUAAUGGGGCAUCAUCUACGGCCCCGUGAAUACGUUCCCGGGUCUUGUACACACCGCCCGUCACAUCAUGGAAGCCGGUCGCACCCGAAGUGCUCGUACCAACCGCAAGGGGGUAGAGUCCUAAGGUGUAGCUGGUAACUGGGAUGAAGUCGUAACAAGGUA
rnacentral:rRNA from 1 species